rnacentral:rRNA from 1 species
CUUAAUUGGGCGUUAAGUUGCAGGGUAUAGACCCGAAACCCGGUGAUCUAGCCAUGGGCAGGUUGAAGGUUGGGUAACACUAACUGGAGGACCGAACCGACUAAUGUUGAAAAAUUAGCGGAUGACCUGUGGCUGGGGGUGAAAGGCCAAUCAAACCGGGAGAUAGCUGGUUCUCCCCGAAAGCUAUUUAGGUAGCGCCUCGUGAAUUCAUCUCCGGGGGUAGAGCACUGUUUCGGCUAGGGGGCCAUCCCGGCUUACCAACCCGAUGCAAACUGCGAAUACCGGAGAAUGUUAUCACGGGAGACACACGGCGGGUGCUAACGUCCGUCGUGAAGAGGGAAACAACCCAGACCGCCAGCUAAGGUCCCAAAGUCAUGGUUAAGUGGGAAACGAUGUGGGAAGGCCCAGACAGCCAGGAUGUUGGCUUAGAAGCAGCCAUCAUUUAAAGAAAGCGUAAUAGCUCACUGGUCGAGUCGGCCUGCGCGGAAGAUGUAACGGGGCUAAACCAUGCACCGAAGCUGCGGCAGCGACACUCAGGUGUUGUUGGGUAGGGGAGCGUUCUGUAAGCCUGCGAAGGUGGCCUGUGAGGGUUGCUGGAGGUAUCAGAAGUGCGAAUGCUGACAUAAGUAACGAUAAAGCGGGUGAAAAGCCCGCUCGCCGGAAGACCAAGGGUUCCUGUCCAACGUUAAUCGGGGCAGGGUGAGUCGACCCCUAAGGCGAGGCCGAAAGGCGUAGUCGAUGGGAAACGGGUUAAUAUUCCCGUACUUGGUGUUACUGCGAAGGGGGGACGGAGAAGGCUAUGUUGGCCGGGCGACGGUUGUCCCGGUUUAAGCGUGUAGGUGUGUGUUCCAGGUAAAUCCGGUU